ensembl:rRNA n-R5s84 nuclear encoded rRNA 5S 84
GCCUAAGGCCUUAACUCCCUGAGUGCUCUCAACCUCAUCUGAUCUUGGAUGCUAAGCAAGGACAGGCCUGGUUAGAACUCGGAUGGGUGGACAGCAGUUCCCUUGGGGU